GAAAUGCGAUAAGUAGUGUGAAUUGCAGAAUUCAGUGAAUCAUCGAAUCUUUGAACGCACAUUGCGCCCCUUGGUAUUCCAUGGGGCAUGCCUGUUCGAGCGUCAUUUGUACCCUCAAGCUCUGCUUGGUGUUGGGUGUUUGUCCCGUCUCCGCGCGUGGACUCGCCCCAAAGUGAUUGGCAGCCGGCGUACUGGUCCCGGAGCGCAGCACAUGUCGCGCAAACGAGUGCCUUGGUACGGCGGCGUCCAUAAGCCCCUCUCUCACGCUCUUGACCUCGGAUCAGGUGGGGAUACCCGCUGAACUUAAGC
rnacentral:misc_RNA from 1 species